rnacentral:rRNA from 1 species
CCUGGCUCACGUUGAGGCUAGCUACAGGCUUAACACAUGCAAGUCGAGGGCUUCAUGGUCUUAGCUUGCUAAGGCCGAUGGCGACCGGCGCACGGGUGAGUAACACGUAUCCAACCUGCCGUCUACUCUUGGACAGCCUUCUGAAAGGAAGAUUAAUACAAGAUGGCAUCAUGAGUCCGCAUGUUCACAUGAUUAAAGGUAUUCCGGUAGACGAUGGGGAUGCGUUCCAUUAGAUAGUAGGCGGGGUAACGGCCCACCUAGUCUUCGAUGGAUAGGGGUUCUGAGAGGAAGGUCCCCCACAUUGGAACUGAGACACGGUCCAAACUCCUACGGGAGGCAGCAGUGAGGAAUAUUGGUCAAUGGGCGAGAGCCUGAACCAGCCAAGUAGCGUGAAGGAUGACUGCCCUAUGGGUUGUAAACUUCUUUUAUAAAGGAAUAAAGUCGGGUAUGGAUACCCGUUUGCAUGUACUUUAUGAAUAAGGAUCGGCUAACUCCGUGCCAGCAGCCGCGGUAAUACGGAGGAUCCGAGCGUUAUCCGGAUUUAUUGGGUUUAAAGGGAGCGUAGAUGGAUGUUUAAGUCAGUUGUGAAAGUUUGCGGCUCAACCGUAAAAUUGCAGUUGAUACUGGAUAUCUUGAGUGCAGUUGAGGCAGGCGGAAUUCGUGGUGUAGCGGUGAAAUGCUUAGAUAUCACGAAGAACUCCGAUUGCGAAGGCAGCCUGCUAAGCUGCAACUGACAUUGAGGCUCGAAAGUGUGGGUAUCAAACAGGAUUAGAUACCCUGGUAGUCCACACGGUAAACGAUGAAUACUCGCUGUUUGCGAUAUACAGCAAGCGGCCAAGCGAAAGCGUUAAGUAUUCCACCUGGGGAGUACGCCGGCAACGGUGAAACUCAAAGGAAUUGACGGGGGCCCGCACAAGCGGAGGAACAUGUGGUUUAAUUCGAUGAUACGCGAGGAACCUUACCCGGGCUUAAAUUGCAGAUGAAUUACGGUGAAAGCCGUAAGCCGCAAGGCAUCUGUGAAGGUGCUGCAUGGUUGUCGUCAGCUCGUGCCGUGAGGUGUCGGCUUAAGUGCCAUAACGAGCGCAACCCUUGUUGUCAGUUACUAACAGGUUCCGCUGAGGACUCUGACAAGACUGCCAUCGUAAGAUGUGAGGAAGGUGGGGAUGACGUCAAAUCAGCACGGCCCUUACGUCCGGGGCUACACACGUGUUACAAUGGGGGGUACAGAGGGCCGCUACCACGCGAGUGGAUGCCAAUCCCAAAAACCUCUCUCAGUUCGGACUGGAGUCUGCAACCCGACUCCACGAAGCUGGAUUCGCUAGUAAUCGCGCAUCAGCCACGGCGCGGUGAAUACGUUCCCGGGCCUUGUACACACCGCCC